UGUUCUCGUUAGAUCACCGAAGUCAAGCAUCAUUGGGCGCGGUCAGUACUUGGGUGGGUGACCACCUGGGAACACCGCGUGCCGUU